rnacentral:rRNA from 1 species
GACGAACGCUGGCGGCAUGCCUUAUACAUGCAAGUUGAGCGGCAGCGGUUGGUCAUUGUUGCGACUGGGUGGGCAACGAACGGGUGAGUAACGCGUGGGGAAUCUCCAUUUGGGCGGAGGACAACAAUUGGAAACGAAUGACAACACCGGAUAAAAACUUUAAACCCAAGUAUUAAGGUUGAAAGCUGCAAUUGCAUCACUCAAAGGUGCUCCCGCGUUGUAUUAGCUAGAUGGUGUGGUAAAGGCUCACCAAGGCGAUGAUACAUAGCCGACCGGAGACGGUGAUUGGCCACAAUUGGACUGGGACACGGCCCAAACUCCUACGGGGGGCAGCAGUAGGGAAUCUUCGGACAUGGAGGGAAGCCCGACCCAGGACAGCCGGGGGGGGGAAGAAGGUUUUCGGAUCGGAAAACUCUGUUGGUAGAGAAGAAAGUGGGUGGGACUGGAAAGCUCAUCAAGUGACGGUAACGACCGAGGAAGGAACGGCUAACUACGUG